rnacentral:rRNA from 1 species
UACAGAGGUCCCGAGCGUUGUUCGGAUUCAUUGGGCGUAAAGAGCGCGCAGGCGGUCGUUCAAGUCGCGUGUGAAAGCCCCCGGCUCAACUGGGGAGGGUCAUUCGAUACUGAUCGACUCGAAGGCAGGAGAGGGUAGUGGAAUUCCCGGUGUAGUGGUGAAAUGCGUAGAUAUCGGGAGGAACACCAGUGGCGAAGGCGACUACCUGGCCUGUUCUUGACGCUGAGGCGCGAAAGCUAGGGGAGCAAACGGG